rnacentral:misc_RNA from 1 species
UACGUAGGGGGCAAGCGUUGUCCGGAAUUAUUGGGCGUAAAGCGCGCGCAGGCGGCUCCUUAAGUCUGAUGUGAAAGCCCACGGCUCAACCGGGGAGGGCCAUUGGAAACUGGGAGGCUUGAGUAUAGGAGAGAAGAGUGGAAUUCCACGUGUAGCGGUGAAAUGCGUAGAGAUGUGGAGGAACACCAGUGGCGAAGGCGACUCUUUGGCCUAUAACUGACGCUGAGGCGCGAAAGCCAGGGGAGAGAACGGG